rnacentral:rRNA from 1 species
UACGUAGGGGGCGGGCGUUGUUCGGAUUUACUGGGCGUAAAGGGCGCGCAGGCGGCUCUUUUUGUCCGGCGUGAAAGCCCCGGGCUUAACCUGGGAACUGCGUUUGAUACGGAUGGGCUAGAGUUCGGGAGAGGAGAGUGGAAUUCCCAGUGUAGAGGUGAAAUUCGUAGAUAUUGGGAAGAACACCGGUGGCGAAGGCGGCUCUCUGGACCGAUACUGACGCUGAGGCGCGAAAGCGUGGGGAGCAAACAGG